AUUGAACGCUGGCGGCAGGCCUAACACAUGCAAGUCGAACGGUAACAGGAAGACGCUUGCUUCUUUGCUGACGAGUGGCGGACGGGUGAGUAAUGUCUGGGAAACUGCCUGAUGGAGGGGGAUAACUACUGGAAACGGUAGCUAAUACCGCAUAACGUCGCAAGACCAAAGAGGGUGACCUUCGGGCCUCUCGCCAUCGGAUGUGCCCGGGUGGGAUUAGCUAGUAGGUGGGGUAGUGGCUCACCAAGUCUACGAUGGCUAGCUGGUCUGAGGGGGUGACCGGCCACAUUGGGACGGAGAGACGGGCCAGACUCCUACGGGAGGCAGCAGUGGGGAAUAUUGUACAAUGGGCGGAAGGCUGAUGCAGCAACGCCGCGUGCGGGAUGACGGCCGUCGGGUGGUAAACCGCUUUCGCCUGUGACGAAGCGUGAGUGACGGUAAUGGGUAAAGAAGCACCGGCUAACUACGUG
rnacentral:rRNA from 1 species